CCUACGGGAUGCAGCAGUGGGGAAUAUUGCACAAUGGGCGAAAGCCUGAUGCAGCAACGCCGCGUGAAGGAAGACGGUGUUAGGAUUGUAAACUUCUAUCAAUAGGGAAGAAAGAAAUGACGGUACCUAAAUAAGAAGCCCAGGCUAAGUACGUGCCAGCAGCCGCGGUAAUACGUAGGGGGCAAGCUUUAUCCGGAAUUACUGGGUGUAAAGGGAGAGAAGGCUGCAAAGUAAGCGAUAUGUGAAAGCCUUAAGCUUAACUUAAGGAUUGCAUAACGAACUAUCUAGCUGUAUUACAGGGAAGGACAGCGGAAUUCCUAGUGUAGCGGUGACAUGCGUAGAUAUUAGGAAGAACAUUAGUGUCGACGGCGGCUUUCUGGACUGAAACUGACGCUGAGGCUCGAAAGCGUGGGGAGCGAACAGGAUUAGAUACCCGAGUAGUC
rnacentral:rRNA from 1 species